CGUAGGGACCGAGCGUUGUCCGGAUUCAUUGGGCGUAAAGAGCUCGUAGGCGGCUGCUCAAGUCGAAUGUGAAAACUCGAGGCUCAACCUCGAGCCUGCAUUCGAUACUGGGCGGCUAGAGUCUGGUAGGGGGAUCUGGAAUUCCUGGUGUAGCGGUGGAAUGCGCAGAUAUCAGGAGGAACACCGGUGGCGAAGGCGGGAUCCUGGGCCAGUACUGACGCUGAGGAGCGAAAGCGUGGGGAGCAAACAGGAUUAGAUACCCUGGUAGUCCACGCCGUAAACGAUGGGCGCUAGGUGUGGGAGGUCAUCGACUCCUUCCGUGCCGCAGCUAACGCAUUAAGCGCCCCGCCUGGGGAGUACGGCCGCAAGGCUA
rnacentral:rRNA from 1 species